GCAUAUCCAAUAAGCGGAGGAAAAGAAACUAACAAGGGAUUCCCCCUAGUAACUGCGAGUGAAGCGGGAAGAGCUCAAAUUUUGAAUCUGGCGGUCCUCGUGGCCGUCCGAGUUGUAAUCUAGAGAAGUGUUUUCCGCGCUGGACCGUGUACAAGUCUCCUGGAAGGGAGCGUCGUAGAGGGUGAGAAUCCCGUCUUUGACACGGACUACCAGUGCUCUGUGAUGCGCUCUCGACGAGUCGAGUUGUUUGGGAAUGCAGCUCAAAUUGGGUGGUAAAUUCCAUCUAAAGCUAAAUAUAGGCGAGAGACCGAUAGCGAACAAGUACCGUGAGGGAAAGAUGAAAAGAACUUUGGAAAGAGAGUUAAACAGUACGUGAAAUUGCUGAAAGGGAAACGCUUGAUGUCAGUCGCGUUGGCUGGGGAUCAACCUUGCUUCUCGCUGGGUGUAUUUCCUGGUUGACGGGUCAGCAUCAGUUUCGAUCGCCGUACAAGGGCGGAGGGAAUGUGGCAUUCUUCGGAGUGUGUUAUAGCCUUUCGUCGUAUGCGGUGACUGGGACUGAGGAACUCAGCAUGACCCCUCGAGGGUUCGGGGCUUCGGCCUACGUUCGUGCUUAGGAUGCUGGCAUAAUGGCCUUAAGCGACCCGUCUUGAAACACGGACCAAGGAGUCUAACAUGCCUGCGAGUGUUUGGGUGGAAAACCCGAGCGCGUAAUGAAAGUGAAAGUUGAGACCUCUGUCGUGGAGGGCAUCGACGCCCGGACUUGAGCCUUUGGCGACGGAUCUGCGGUAGAGCAUGUAUGUUGGGACCCGAAAGAUGGUGAACUAUGCCUGAAUAGGGUGAAGCCAGAGGAAACUCUGGUGGAAGCUCGUAGCGAUUCUGACGUGCAAAUCGAUCGUCGAAUUUGGGUAUAGGGCGAAAGACUAAUCGAACCAUUCUAGUAGCUGGUUCCUGCCGAAGU
rnacentral:rRNA from 1 species